AUUGAACGCUGGCGGAAUGCUUUACACAUGCAAGUCGAACGGCAGCACGGGGCAACCUGGUGGCGAGUGGCGAACGGGUGAGUAAUACAUCGGAACGUGCCCAAUCGUGGGGGAUAACGUAGCGAAAGUUACGCUAAUACCGCAUACGAUCUACGGAUGAAAGCGAGGGAUCGCAAGACCUCGCGCGAAUGGAGCGGCCGAUGUCAGAUUAGGUAGUUGGUGGGAUAAAAGCUUACCAAGGCGACGAUCUGUAGCGGGUCUGAGAGGAUGAUCCGCCACACUGGAACUGAGACACGAUCCAGACUCCUACGGGAGGCAGCAGUGGGGAAUUUUGGACAAUGGGGGCAACCCUGAUCCAGCCAUGCCGCGUGAGUGAAGAAGGCCUUCGGGUUGUAAAGCUCUUUCGGCCGGGAAGAAAUCGUAUCAGCGAAUACCUGGUGCGGAUGACGGUACCGGCAUAAGAAGCACCGGCUAACUACGUGCCAGCCGCCGCAGUAAGAC
rnacentral:rRNA from 1 species